GCCACAGACUCAGGUGGUGGAACCAUCAAGUCACGAUCCCCAGUGUUGGACAAUCAGCCAUACUCAGAGGAAGUGAACAAGAAUUACUACCUGGACCUAAAUCCAAGUCUUUUCUAACUUCGACACCCAUGCUGUCCCAUGACAUCACACUAAGGAACUGCCUAACAAUGCCUGCCAUCUACGCCAUGAAGUAAGCAAAGGUACAAGUCAGGAGGAGUCUGAUGUCAAUGCCAGGGAAACUCCUCUUCUGGCAAGUAUGUGACACGGAGAAGACAUCUGCCAACAUACAUUCCUAGAGCCUGUGGCCCAUGUCUUGACAUACUGAGCCAGUGACAGGAGGACACCAAUGAUGAUGUAUUGUCAGAUGGCCAAUGGGCAUGAGAGAAGACUGGUAAACCAAGUAAGAAGGCACUGGUAGAGGCAGCAAAGAGGCGUAGUGCUUGCGACAAGGCUGUUGCUUCAAAAGAAAAGAGGCCGUACCUUCACAGCCACGCUCGAUCUGUCCACUCCGAUGGAGGGCAUCGUUGAUGAGGUCUGGCAGACGCCCAUUCAAAUCCACUGAUGCCAGACAGCCCUGAAAGCCAUCCCGGGAAGCCACCAGCUUUGGAAGGUUGCUGUACAUACCUUGGGCCAGACCCGCCAUAUAGAGGUCACCUGCAAAAGAAACUCAACUGCAAUGAAGUCAUUGCCGUCACCACUGUUGAAGAGAAUGAAGCCAUCAGCUGAGGUGGUCUUGAACUGGAAGAAGAGGUGCAUGGAGGUGUACGCCUGGAGGGUGGCCAGGCUCAGCUUUCCAGAGGAAAAGAAGUGACAUAACCUGGAAGAUUAAAGAAAAUCUACCAAGAAACUGUAUUCCCAUAGCUUCCCCCUGGCACUUCCUAUUUGUUCCUAUGAGAACAAGUGAUCUUCAAGAAAUACCCAGCAUACCCCACUUACCCACAGCAUGUACUUUAGGGGAGCAAGUCUUGCUUCAGUGGGGAUGCCUACCCAAGUCCUGAAUUAGUUAGCAUUCAAGUGGGCAAUUCUAAUUCUGAAAUUCGGUUGAUGUUAACCACAUUCUUCAGUACCACUGUUACCACUAAAUAAAUGAUACUUGGCUUUAACCA